UCUGGUGGCCGCCUGCAUGGGCACCUACCGCCGCGCAGCCAGGGCGCUCCUGGCGCGAGCCCGCACCCUGCACCUGCAGGCUGGGAACCUGCUGAGCUGGGGCCGUCUGCAGAGGAAGUGUCUUUCCACGCACAGCGAGGAGGUGAGGGCCGGCCAGCAGCGUCCGCGCAAAUCCAGGUUCUGGGGCAGGCGGCCGGCCAGGGCAGGUGAGGGAGAGCACGCCUGGGCGCCGCUGGGGACUGCGGCCAGGGUCAGUGCAACCUCUUGUCCGGACCUGCCGCCUGGGGCCGAGCGUCCUAAAAACUCAGCAGGUGCAGCUGCACACCCAGUGCCGCCUCUGCCACUGUUCGAGGUGGAUAGCAGAACUCUGAGACGCGCUGGCAGGGGAAUCGGGGAGCGCCAGUAAGUGGCUGGGUGCCUCUAUCAAUCUCUUGCUCUCUUCCCCACCCUUUCCUUUCGAAAGGAAUAUUCGAAAGAUUAACUUUUGGUAAAUGAAAUAAUAUUCACAAUACGCUUAACUUUGUGUCAAUGUUGGUAUUAAUCUAUUGCUGUGAAGCAAAUGACGAAACAACUCAAAUUUGGUUUGGGCGUAGACACGAAUUUUUUUCUUACUGGAAGUUAAUCUGCCUCAUUUUAUUUUCCCGAAGGCUGAUCACUAGUUAGUUGGAGGUGGCAGAUGUUAAUCUAGAAGUAUGCACUUGUUACUCCUUUGUUGCUGACUCUUUCUGAGCCAGUGAGUAGUCAUCUAUUGACUGCACAAGUAAUUUGUGGCACGGAAUAAUUUUAGUACUUGAAAAAAAUUCCCAGUGACUAUGUGCGUUUAUGAUGUGUUGGUUAAAUGUAAAAGUAAUAGAACAAAAACUUCAGGAGCCAUGCGACUUUGGGAAAGAAGCUUUGAAGUUGGAUGCUACCUUCCUCAUCAGGUUGUUGUGAAAAUUAAGAGAUUAUAUAUGAAAAUACUCAACCUAGGAGAGUUUAUCUCCAUAUAACCUGGUUCUAUCAGAAAAAUGCCUUGAUUAAAAGAACCAGUUGCCUCAACUGUCAAAUUAUCAGCUGUUCAGAGUAAGAUUUAGCUAUUUUUAUAGAGAGCUGUUGUCCACAGAACCUGCAGUAAGUAGCAGUUUGUAUGUGUGGGGAACCAGCAACCUUCAGGAAGUGAGAACUCUUGGUUGUCACUUUAAUAUGCACCAGAAUCCCUAUCCUAUUCUAUGUUUGGGUUCCAACUUUGUUUAAACCACCCACUUUGACUUUCUCUGAAAGAUAAGUAUUUCUAUAUUUGUUACAUAGAGCCUUAAUUUCUUUCAGCAGUGAUAGUCAUGACCAAGGUAGCUGGAAGUUCUGCAGGUAUUUUGAUGAUAUUGGUGAGAUUUUUUUCUGUUAUAUCACUAUAACACAUUGUAGAGUAGUGGCUUUCAAUUUUUUUUUACUCCAAAUGGUACGAAAUGUAUUUUACCCAUGCAGUUCAUAAUUAUAUAUUUAUAUGUGUGUAUCAAUAUGUCUGAAACAGAGAUCUCA
rnacentral:lncRNA from 1 species